rnacentral:rRNA from 1 species
UAAGCAUAUCAAUAAGCGGAGGAAAAGAAACCAACAGGGAUUCCCUUAGUAACGGCGAGCGAAAAGGGAAGAGCCCAGCUUGUAAAUCUCCGGUUUUCCGGCGAAUUGUAGUCUGGAGUAGCAUCUCUUAAAGCUGUGUCCGCCCAAGCAUCUUGGAAUAGAUCGCCUUAGAGGGUGAGAGCCCCGUAGGCUGGCAUUGGCUUUUUCACGGAGUGCUUACGCAGAGUCGGGUUGUUUGGGAAUGCAGCCCCAAUUGGGUGGUAAACCCCAUCUAAGGCUAAAUACCUGUGGGAGACCGAUAGCAAAAAAGUACCUCGAGGGAACGAUGAAAAGACCGCUGGCAAGCGAGUGAAAGAGUGCAUGAAAUUGUAUAGUGGGAAGGGAUGGCCUGGCGURCUGYCUACGGGUAUACACUGCUCUUCGAGCUCUUGAAUACACCGUAGGCUGGCUGGUGCCGGCACUUAUGCUUGCAAAUUCCCAACCUAAGGUGUUUGGUUCUACAAGCGCAAGUGCUGAGGAUGAUCGAAGCUCUGUUUUAAACUGCUCCGACAUAGCACCAGCUGAAGCCUGUCCAUCUACCCGCGG